rfam:Canis lupus familiaris chromosome 35, whole genome shotgun sequence.
CAAAAGGCUCUUUUCAGAGCCACUCUGUGAUCUAAAGAGAACUGG